rnacentral:lncRNA from 1 species
CUGCCUGACCUCGUCCCGGUGGAAGGGAUCCUCACACCCCUAAAGCGUCCAUCCUCUCCCCAGCCACCGCAGUCCAUAGGCGCCCCCGUCCGUCUCCUCCAGCCCCUCCCUCCGGCCGCCCACCCCCUCGCUCAGCCCCCCUUCCACCCCUCCCAGGCCUCCAGACCCGCUGUCCCUGCUCAGACCCCAGGUCCCUGGCGGGAGUUUCCUGUCCCCAGCGCCCGUACUUUCCAUGACACAAGAGGAAGUCGGCUGAGCAGGGGCUGGGUUUUCCAGGCCGCCCGGCCCUGGGUGGAGGCCGAAGGUGGGGGUGAGGAGGGGGUUAUCACCCCCCAACCCCCACCCCAGGGCCGUGUCAGUACCUCGUCGGCCUCCGCGGGAGAAGCGCCUGCCUGCGCUGCCCGGGCCCACACCAGGGAUUUGAAUGAUGCCAAGGCCCCAGUCUCCCGUUCUAGGACCCCUGCCCCCAGGCUGCACCGACGUGGGAGCUGGAGAUGGGAGAUUUGUCUGAUCUGGAACCUGGACUGUUUGACUCUUUCUCUCUAGUGGGAAGGUGUCGUCGGGUGCCAGGGCUUUGUGGGAGGAGCAGAGUGCAGAGAACCCAAGUUUGCCAUGGAUAGGCGUGUGCUGGCUCUGUAAAGUGGCUCAGUGUGUGUACUUUCCUGGAGUCCUGGGUGGCCAUGCAACCUGCAGGGACAGGUCGGGGCACCCUCCCUCCCACCUUUCCCAGCCACAUCUGGGACCUGGGUUUUGCCACCUGAUGACACUGGUCUCAUAUCCCUGUGGUGAAACCUUGAGUCAAGGAUUCAAGUCAGUUACCUAAACUCUUCAUCUGUAAAAUGGGACGGUUUGAAGAUAAAGCGUGUAAUGUAUAUAAAGAGCAUAGCACAGUCCUGGCUCCUGGUAAGGGCUCCAGAAACCAGAGUUGAUAUCAUGGUCAUUUCUGGGUGGAGAGUCUAGGGUUUAGGGGGCCCUGAUGCCAACUUUCCAUUUUGACUUGAUGUGUGACCUUGGGCAAGUAAUUUCCCCUUUCUGAGACUGGGAGUAGGGAUAAGCCCUGCAUUACAGGGCUU